GCCCCUCCCAUGGAGCACCAGUCGCCUAGCCGAGCUCUCGGCGCCGGACCCCCUCCCCACACCAGCCAUCUUCCACAGCCGCCCCCAGCCAUCUCCCUGGUGGCCAACCUCACCACUCUCGCCCUGGCUGCACUCGUCGGCGUCACUUGCCACGGCACCCUCCAUGGCCGAGCUCCUCCCCUAUGGCUCGUCUUCCCCACGACGCCCUCCCUCCAUUCCUUUUCCUCCAUGGCCGACACCCCCAUCUCCACUAGCCAGCGCCCCCUCCCUCAUCCUCUUCCUCAAGCUGAGCUCGCCCUAGCUCCAACUUCAACCAUGGACGACGACCUCCCCUUCCUGCUGCACGCCGGCAUCCUCCCCAUGCCAGCUGCACGCGCGCCGUGACCACUCCUCUCCCUACAGUGCCGCUCGCCCUGGCUCUAACCUCUCCCAUGGACGCCACAACCCAUACUCCCAAGGACAUGGAGCAACAAUAACCAAGAAACCCCUUCGUGUCGCGCCCACGACGUGUUCGACGGAAUAUCGCAGCGGACUACACCCGAUCUGUGCAGCCCUGUCGCGACCUUGUCGAAUCCUGUUGAGGACCCGAUUCUCCUUGUGUUCAUUCCUCGCCAGUAUUAAUACCCAAAAUCAAGUUAUUAGAUGCUAAUGUUAUCUAUAUAUGUGUGCAUAAUGUGCGAGAUGUGAGGAAUUCCAUAUUUGUGUGGCGAGGCAAGCCGUACGACAAGUGCCAGAUGUUUGAUGAAAUGAUUGAAUCGGAGAGUGUCACCGUUUGUGUGGAUUAUCAAGUCAGGCAAAUAACGGUCACUUGGUCGUGGAAGGGCUUCUUAUUGCAGUCAUAGUGUUCCAGCUCUCCAGGAAGAGCUACAAACCACCAAAGAAGCCACUCACUGAAAAGGAGAUUGAUGAGCUAUGUGAUGAGUGGGAGCCAGAGCCGCUAUGCCCUCCAAUCAAGGAGGGGGCCAAAAUAGAUGCUCCAACAUUGGAAAGUGCCGCUGGACCACUUACGAUUGUUGAUGGUAAAGAAGUUGUGAACUUUGCAUCAACAAACUACCUCGGUUUAAUUGGCAACGAAAAGAUUAUUGAUUCUUGCAUCAGUUCAUUGGAGAAAUAUGGUGUUGGUUCUUGUGGUCCACGUGGUUUUUAUGGAACAAUUGAUGUCCAUCUUGACUAUGAGUCAAAGAUAGCUAAAUUUUUGGGGACUCCAGACUCCAUUCUUUAUUCAUAUGGGAUUUCUACAAUAUUCAGUGUGAUACCUGCCUUCUGUAAGAAAGGAGAUAUCAUAGUCGCUGAUGAGGGUGUUCACUGGGCAGUGCAAAAUGGUCUCCAUCUAUCAAGAAGCACUGUGGUGUACUUCAAGCACAAUGAUAUGGCUUCACUUGCAAGCACUUUGGAAAAACUUACUCGUGGAAAUAAACGUGCUGAAAAGAUUAGAUGCUACAUUGUUGUAGAAUCCAUUUACUAGGUGCAGUGCUUUUGAUUGUUU